GAUGAACGCUAGCGGCAGGCCUAACACAUGCAAGUCGAGGGGCAUCGGGAUUGAAGCUUGCUUCAAUUGCCGGCGACCGGCGCACGGGUGCGUAACGCGUAUGUAACCUACCUAUAACAGGGGCAUAACACUGAGAAAUUGGUACUAAUUCCCCAUAAUAUUCGGAGAGGCAUCUCUCCGGGUUGAAAACUCCGGUGGUUAUAGAUGGACAUGCGUUGUAUUAGCUAGUUGGUGAGGUAACGGCUCACCAAGGCAACGAUACAUAGGGGGACUGAGAGGUUAACCCCCCACACUGGUACUGAGACACGGACCAGACUCCUACGGGAGGCAGCAGUGAGGAAUAUUGGUCAAUGGACGCAAGUCUGAACCAGCCAUGCCGCGUGCAGGAAGACGGCUCUAUGAGUUGUAAACUGCUUUUGUACGAGGGUAAACUCACCUACGUGUAGGUGACUGAAAGUAUCGUACGAAUAAGGAUCGGCUAACUCCGUGCCAGCAGCCGCGGUAAUACGGAGGAUUCAAGCGUUAUCCGGAUUUAUUGGGUUUAAAGGGUGCG
rnacentral:rRNA from 1 species